rnacentral:lncRNA from 1 species
CAAAGCGACUCCCUACUUCCUCCUCUAGCCCACACCUUUCAGUACGUGCCUGCAAGGCUUUGGGACUGGCCUGC